rnacentral:rRNA from 1 species
AUACGUAGGGGACAAGCGUUGUCCGGAAUGACUGGGCGUAAAGGGCGCGUAGGCGGUCUAUUAAGUCUGAUGUGAAAGGUACCGGCUCAACCGGUGAAGUGCAUUGGAAACUGGUAGACUUGAGUAUUGGAGAGGCAAGUGGAAUUCCUAGUGUAGCGGUGAAAUGCGUAGAUAUUAGGAGGAACACCAGUGGCGAAGGCGGCUUGCUGGACAAAUACUGACGCUGAGGUGCGAAAGCGUGGGGAGCGAACAGGAUUAGAUACCCUGGUAGUCCACGCCGUAAACGAUGAAUGCUAGGUGUUGGGGAAACUCAGUGCCGCAGUUAACACAAUAAGCAUUCCGCCUGGGGAGUACGACCGCAAGGUUGAAACUCAAAUGAAUUGACGGGG